rnacentral:rRNA from 1 species
AGUGAACGCUGGCGGCGUGCUUAACACAUGCAAGUCGAGCGGGGAAGGGUAGCUUGCUACCUGACCUAGCGGCGGACGGGUGAGUAAUGCUUAGGAAUCUGCCUAUUAGUGGGGGACAACAUUCCGAAAGGAAUGCUAAUACCGCAUACGCCCUACGGGGGAGAGCAGGGGAUCUUCGGACCUUGCGCUAAUAGAUGAGCCUAAGUCAGAUUAGCUAGUUGGUGGGGUAAAGGCCUACCAAGGCGACGAUCUGUAGCGGGUCUGAGAGGAUGAUCCGCCACACUGGGACUGAGACACGGCCCAGACUCCUACGGGAGGCAGCAGUGGGGAAUAUUGGACAAUGGGCGCAAGCCUGAUCCAGCCAUGCCGCGUGUGUGAAGAAGGCCUUUUGGUUGUAAAGCACUUUAAGCGAGGAGGAGGCUACUUGGAUUAAUACUCUAGGAUAGUGGACGUUACUCGCAGAAUAAGCACCGGCUAACUCUGUGCCAGCCGCCGCGGUAA